GGGGCCGGAUAGCUUAUUUGGUCAAAGCUUUUCCAAUGAAUGGAAGCGACCCAGGUUCGACUCCUGGUCUUCUUU
rnacentral:tRNA from 1 species